GGCCUAUCAAUUCUUAUCACAGGUGUAUUCUUUACAACUGACUGUAGAGAAAGAGGAGGUGCAGUAAAUGCUCCCCAUAUACACCUCAACCCAGGCCUUUUCCUGGUCUGUAUUGUAAAUUGGGGGACAAAA